rnacentral:rRNA from 1 species
UACGGGGGGGCAAGCGUUGUUCGGAAUUACUGGGCGUAAAGGGCGCGUAGGCGGUUUGCUAAGUUGAAUGUGAAAACUCUGGGCUUAACCCAGAGCCUGCAUUCAAUACUGGCAGGCUAGAGUUCUGGAGGGGAUAGCGGAAUUCCUGGUGUAGCGGUGAAAUGCGCAGAUAUCAGGAGGAACACCAAUGGCGAAGGCAGCUCGCUGGGGACGGUACUGAACGCUGGAGGCGCGAAAGCGUGGGGAGCAAACAGG